UAGCCUCUACUAGGCUUUGUCU
rnacentral:miRNA from 7 species